AGCAGUAGCCGCGGGAAUACGUAGGGUGCAAGCGUUAAUCGGAAUUACUGGGCGUAAAGCGCACGUAGGCGGAUAUUUAAGUCAGGGGUGAAAUCCCAGAGCUCAACUCUGGAACUGCCUUUGAUACUGGGUAUCUUGAGUAUGGAAGAGGUGAGUGGAAUUCCGAGUGUAGAGGUGAAAUUCGUAGAUAUUCGGAGGAACACCAGUGGCGAAGGCGGCUCACUGGUCCAUUACUGACGCUGAGGUGCGAAAGCGUGGGGAGCAAACAGGAUUAGAUACCCCCGUAGUCCCUGUCUCUUAUAC
rnacentral:rRNA from 1 species